UACGCGCUGGCAGACUGGGGGAGAACAGUAUUUACUUUGGAAGGGGAAAGUCUCUGCCCCCGCAUCCAGCCUGCACAGUUAUAUAAGACUUGAACCGCAUCCCCCGCUCCUCCGCGGCCGCUCACAACGCGCUGGGGGCCGGAGCCAGAUGGAGGAAGGUUCCGUCAGGAAAGUUUAACUCAGCGGGGAAGCUGCAGCCAGUGGAGGACACGAUUCUCUCGCUGAACUCUCCAAAAGCCUUGGAAAUCUUACAGUUGUGUCAUAUGCUGGUUUGGGGAAUGCGAACAGUCCGGAGGCAGCCGCCAGCCCUCUUUCACUUCUUUAUUUAUUUUUUUUCUCUUCGCUUUGCACUGAGUUUAAUUUGGGUAGCAGGAUUCAGCAUUUUUAAGUUGGAAAAAUCUUGGUGGAAGAAGAUAUUUUAGGAAAACCCUGUCAUGUGAACUAGCGGGAGCCGAUCAAACCGAGCUAUUAAAAGAAAGAUACUGUAUUUUUAAA